GAGUUUGAUCCUGGCUCAGGAUGAACGCUAGCGGCAGGCCUAACACAUGCAAGUCGAGGGGUAACCGGAGGUGCUUGCACCUUGCUGACGACCGGCGCACGGGUGCGUAACGCGUAUACAAUCUACCUUUUGCUGAGGGAUAGCCCAGAGAAAUUUGGAUUAAGACCUCAUGGUAUCAUAUUAUCGCCUGGUAAAAUGAUUAAAGGUUACGGCAAGAGAUGAGUAUGCGUCCUAUUAGCUAGAUGGUGUGGUAACGGCACACCAUGGCUACGAUAGGUAGGGGCCCUGAGAGGGGGACCCCCCACACUGGUACUGAGACACGGACCAGACUCCUACGGGAGGCAGCAGUGAGGAAUAUUGGACAAUGGGCGCAAGCCUGAUCCAGCCAUGCCGCGUGCAGGAAGACUGCCCUAUGGGUUGUAAACUGCUUUUAUACGGGAAGAAACCCACCUACGUGUAGGUGGCUGACGGUACCGUAAGAAUAAGGAUCGGCUAACUCCGUGCCAGCAGCCGCGGUAAUACGGAGGAUCCAAGCGUUAUCCGGAAUCAUUGGGUUUAAAGGGUCCGUAGGUGGAUAAUUAAGUCAGGGGUGAAAGUCUGCAGCUCAACUGUAGAAUUGCCUUUGAUACUGGUUAUCUUGAGUCAUUAUGAAGUGGUUAGAAUGUGUAGUGUAGCGGUGAAAUGCAUAGAUAUUACACAGAAUACCGAUUGCGAAGGCAGAUCACUAAUAAUGUACUGACACUGAUGGACGAAAGCGUGGGUAGCGAACAGGAUUAGAUAC
rnacentral:rRNA from 1 species